GACGAACCGUGCGAACGUUGUUCGGAAUCACUGGGCUUAAAGGGCGCGUAGGCGGACCACCAAGUCCGGGGUGAAAUCCUUCGGCUUAACCGGAGAAUUGCCUGGGAUACUGGUGGUCUUGAGGGAGGUAGGGGCACGCGGAACUUCCGGUGGAGCGGUGAAAUGCGUUGAUAUCAGGAGGAACACCGGCGGCGAAGGCGACGCUCUGGUCCAUUUCUGACGCUGAGGUGCGAAAGCCAGGGGAGCAAACGGG
rnacentral:rRNA from 1 species